rnacentral:rRNA from 1 species
UACGUAGGGGGCUAGCGUUGUCCGGAAUCAUUGGGCGUAAAGAGCGCGUAGGCGGCCCGGUAAGUCCGCUGUGAAAGUCGGGGGCUCAACCCUCGAAUGCCGGUGGAUACUGUCGGGCUAGAGUGCGGAAGAGGCGAGUGGAAUUCCUGGUGUAGCGGUGAAAUGCGCAGAUAUCAGGAGGAACACCAAUGGCGAAGGCAGCUCGCUGGAACGGUACUGACGCUGAGGCGCGAAAGCGUGGGGAGCGAACAGG